CCUUUAACCAGAUCACCCCAUCUUCCACUUUUUCCUUUCACUUUCUUCUUGAACAACUCAUGGCUCGAGGAAUCCCGCGGAAAAUGUGGUCGGUGACGCGAACCGUCGUGUGAUUGGAGCGCCCUCAUGUGGUGAAACAGCAAACCCGCUCAUUCAGCGUCACAUUCUCCGAAUGGAACUGAAAAAGAAUCCACAGACCGUGUCCGUAAAGCUACAAGUGACGGUCACAGGUGGACCAGUUCAGCUACAGCGGCCCAGUCGGGAGAGGGAACAUCUCAAAUUGGC